UGCCUACGGGAGGCAGCAGUGGGGGAUAUUGCACAAUGGGGGAAACCCUGAUGCAGCGACGCCGCGUGAGGGAAGACGGUUUUCGGAUUGUAAACCUCUGUCUUUGGGGACGGAUUGAGACGGUACCCAAGGAGGAAGCUCCGGCUAACUACGUGCCAGCAGCCGCGGUAAUACGUAGGGAGCAAGCGUUGUCCGGAUUUACUGGGUGUAAAGGGAGCGUAGACGGCAGAGCAAGUCUGAAGUGAAAGCCCGCGGCCCAACUGCGGGACUGCUUUGGAAACUGCCCGGCUAGAGUGCUGGAGAGG
rnacentral:rRNA from 1 species